UACGAAGGGUGCAAGCGUUACUCGGAAUUACUGGGCGUAAAGCGUGCGUAGGUGGUGAGUUAAGUCUGUCGUGAAAGCCCCGGGCUCAACCUGGGAAUGGCGAUGGAUACUGGCUCGCUAGAGUGCGGUAGAGGAGAGUGGAAUUCCCGGUGUAGCAGUGAAAUGCGUAGAGAUCGGGAGGAACAUCAGUUGCGGAAGGCGGCUCUCGUGGACCGCACUGACACUGAGGCACGAAAGCGUGGGGAGCAAACAGG
rnacentral:rRNA from 1 species